UGCAGUCGAGCGGACAGAUGGGAGCUUGCUCCCUGAUGUYAGCGGCGGACGGGUGAGUAACACGUGGGUAACCUGCCUGUAAGACUGGGAUAACUCCGGGAAACCGGGGCUAAUACCGGAUGCUGUUGACGAUGUUAAUGAACCGCAUCGGUCCAUCAAACAUAAAAGGUGGCUUCGGCUACCACUUACAGAUGGACCCGCGGCGCAUUAGCUAGUUGGUGAGGUAAUGGCAGCCAGCCCUCGGGGAGCAUAGGAUCUCGAUGGCGAGUCGUGGACAGCCGUGGUAUGAGUUUCGUCUAAGCUUUCGGGGCAGCAGUAGGGAAUCUUCCGCAAUGGACGAAACGUCUGACGGAGCAACGCCGCGUGAGUGAUGAAGGUUUUCGGAUCGUAAAGCUCUGUUGUUAGGGAAGAACAAGUACCGUUCGAAUAGGGCGGYACCUUGACGGUACCUAACAGAAAGCCACGGCUAACUACGUGCCAGCAGCCGCGGUAAUACGUAGGUGGCAAGCGUUUUCCGGAAUUAUUGGGCGUAAAGGGCUCGCAGGCGGUUUCUAAGUCUGAUGUGAAAGCCCCCGGCUCAACCGGGGAGGGUCAUUGGAAACUGGGGAACUUGAGUGCAGAAGAGGAGAGUGGAAUUCCACGUGUAGCGGUGAAAUGCGUAGAGAUGUGGAGGAACACCAGUGGCGAAGGCGACUCUCUGGUCUGUAACUGACGCUGAGGAGCGAAAGCGUGGGGAGCGAACAGGAUUAGAUACCCUGGUAGUCCACGCCGUAAACGAUGAGUGCUAAGUGUUAGGGGGUUUCCGCCCCUUAGUGCUGCAGCUAACGCAUUAAGCACUCCGCCUGGGGAGUACGGUCGCAAGACUGAAACUCAAAGGAAUUGACGGGGGCCCGCACAAGCGGUGGAGCAUGUGGUUUAAUUCGAAGCAACGCGAAGAACCUUACCAGGUCUUGACAUCCUCUGACAAUCCUAGAGAUAGGACGUCCCCUUCGGGGGCAGAGUGACAGGUGGUGCAUGGUUGUCGUCAGCUCGUGUCGUGAGAUGUUGGGUUAAGUCCCGCAACGAGCGCAACCCUUGAUCUUAGUUGCCAGCAUUCAGUUGGGCACUCUAAGGUGACUGCCGGUGACAAACCGGAGGAAGGUGGGGAUGACGUCAAAUCAUCAUGCCCCUUAUGACCUGGGCUACACACGUGCUACAAUGGACAGAACAAAGGGCAGCAAAACCGCGAGGUUAAGCCAAUCCCACAAAUCUGUUCUCAGUUCGGAUCGCAGUCUGCAACUCGACUGCGUGAAGCUGGAAUCGCUAGUAAUCGCGGAUCAGCAUGCCGCGGUGAAUACGUUCCCGGGCCUUGUACACACCGCCCGUCACACCACGAGAGUUUGUAACACCCGAAGUCGGUGAGGUAACCUUUAUGGACCAGCCGCCGAAGGUGGGACAGAUGAUUGGG
rnacentral:rRNA from 1 species